UACGUAGGGGGCAAGCGUUGUCCGGAAUCAUUGGGCGUAAAGCGCGUGUAGGCGGCUCGGUAAGUCCGCUCUGAAAGUCCAGGGCUCAACCCUGGGAUGCGGGUGGAUACUGCCGGGCUCGAGUCCGGAAGAGGCGAGUGGAAUUCCCGGUGUAGCGGUGAAAUGCGCAGAUAUCGGGAGGAACACCAAUGGCGAAGGCGGCGACCUGGGUAGAUACUGACGCUGAGGUGCGAAAGCGUGGGGAGCAAACAGG
rnacentral:rRNA from 1 species